rnacentral:rRNA from 1 species
GACGAACGCUGGCGGCGUGCUUAACACAUGCAAGUCGAACGGAAAGGCCCUGCUUUUGUGGGGUGCUCGAGUGGCGAACGGGUGAGUAACACGUGAGUAACCUGCCCUUGACUUUGGGAUAACUUCAGGAAACUGGGGCUAAUACCGGAUAGGAGCUCCUGCUGCAUGGUGGGGGUUGGAAAGUUUCGGCGGUUGGGGAUGGACUCGCGGCUUAUCAGCUUGUUGGUGGGGUAGUGGCUUACCAAGGGUUUGACGGGUAGCCGGCCUGAGAGGGUGACCGGCCACAUUGGGACUGAGAUACGGCCCAGACUCCUACGGGAGGCAGCAGUGGGGAAUAUUGCACAAUGGGCGGAAGCCUGAUGCAGCAACGUCGCGUGCGGGAUGACGGCCUUCGGGUUGUAAACCGCUUUCGCCUGUGACGAAGCGUGAGUGACGGUAAUGGGUAAAGAAGCACCGGCUAACUACGUG